rfam:Triticum aestivum genome assembly, contig: Triticum_aestivum_CS42_TGACv1_scaffold_080722_1DS
CUAGUACUCCCUCCAUCCCGAAUUACUUGUCACAAAAAUGGAUAGAAAUGGAUGUAUCUAGAACUAAAAAUAUGUCUAGAUACAUCCAUUUUCGCAACAAGUAAUUCUGGACAGAAGGAAUAUGAA